rnacentral:rRNA from 1 species
AGUGAACGCUGGCGGCGUGCCUAAUACAUGCAAGUCGAACGGAAUUUAAGAGAGCUUGCUCUUUUAAAUUUAGUGGCGCACGGGUGAGUAAUAUAUAGCUAAUCUGCCCCUUGCCGGAGGACAACAGUUAGAAAUGACUGCUAAUACUCCAUACUCCUUUUUACCAUAAGAUAAAUCGGGAAAGAAUUUCGGCAAGGGAUGAGACUAUAUCGUAUCAGCUAGUCGGUGGGGUAACGGCCUACCGAGGCUAUGACGCGUAACUGGUCUGAGAGGAUGAUCAGUCACAUUGGAACUGAGACACGGUCCAAACUCCUACGGGAGGCAGCAGUAGGGAAUAUUGCGCAAUGGGGGAAACCCUGACGCAGCAACGCCGCGUGGAGGAUGACACUUUUCGGAGCGUAAACUCCUUUUGUUAGGGAAGAAUAAUGACGGACCUAACGAAUAAGCACCGCA